rnacentral:rRNA from 1 species
UCUUAUGAAGUUAGCGGCGGACGGGUGAGUAACACGUGGGUAACCUGCCCAUAAGACUGGGAUAACUCCGGGAAACCGGGGCUAAUACCGGAUAACAUUUUGAACCGCAUGGUUCGAAAUUGAAAGGCGGCUUCGGCUGUCACUUAUGGAUGGACCCGCGUCGCAUUAGCUAGUUGGUGAGGUAACGGCUCACCAAGGC